GAUAGUGUGGCUCAGCGGAAAGAGCACGGGCUUGGGAGUCAGAGGUCAUGGGUUCUAAUCCCGGCUCCAUCA
rnacentral:tRNA from 1 species